rnacentral:rRNA from 1 species
GUAAAGCGGCGCACGGGUGAGUAACGCGUGGAUGAUCUACCCAUGAGUUGGGAAUAACGGUGGAAACGAUCGCUAAUACCCGGUACGUUCCGAUUUCAACUUCGGGAGAAAGGGGGCCUCUGCUUGCAAGCUUCUGCUCAUGGAUGAGUCCGCGUCCCAUUAGCUAGUUGGUGAGGUAACGGCUCACCAAGGCAUCGAUGGGUAGCCGGUCUGAGAGGAUGACCGGCCACACUGGGACUGGAACACGGCCCAGACUCCUACGGGAGGCAGCAGUGGGGAAUAUUGCGCAAUGGGCGAAAGCCUGACGCAGCGACGCCGCGUGAGGGAUGAAGGUCUUCGGAUCGUAAACCUCUGUCAAGAGGGAAGAAACGUCAGGGUGCUAAUCAGCCCUGAUCUGACGGUACCUCUAAAGGAAGCACCGGCUAACUCCGUGCCAGCCGCCGC